rnacentral:rRNA from 1 species
GAUGAACGCUGGCGGCGUGCUUAACACAUGCAAGUCGAACGGUAACAGGAGAAAGCUUGCUUUCUUGCUGACGAGUGGCGGACGGGUGAGUAAUGCUUGGGAAUCUGGCUUAUGGAGGGGGAUAACGACGGGAAACUGUCGCUAAUACCGCGUAGAGUCGAGAGACGAAAGUGCGGGACCGCAAGGCCGCAUGCCAUAGGAUGAGCCCAAGUGGGAUUAGGUAGUUGGUGGGGUAAAGGCCUACCAAGCCGACGAUCUCUAGCUGGUCUGAGAGGAUGACCAGCCACACCGGGACUGAGACACGGCCCGGACUCCUACGGGAGGCAGCAGUGGGGAAUAUUGCGCAAUGGGGGCAACCCUGACGCAGCCAUGCCGCGUGAAUGAAGAAGGCCUUCGGGUUGUAAAGUUCUUUCGGUAUUGAGGAAGGUUGUUGUGUUAAUAGCACGACAAAUUGACGUUAAAUACAGAAGAAGCACCGGCUAACUCCGUGCCAGCAGCCGCGGUAAUACGGAGGGUGCGAGCGUUAAUCGGAAUAACUGGGCGUAAAGGGCACGCAGGCGGACUUUUAAGUGAGGUGUGAAAUCCCCGGGCUUAACCUGGGAAUUGCAUUUCAGACUGGGAGUCUAGAGUACUUUAGGGAGGGGUAGAAUUCCACGUGUAGCGGUGAAAUGCGUAGAGAUGUGGAGGAAUACCGAAGGCGAAGGCAGCCCCUUGGGAAUGUACUGACGCUCAUGUGCGAAAGCGUGGGGAGCAAACAGG